GGAACCUCAGCACACACCUGAGUCAGCAUAAGGAAGUGCAACCAGCAGGGAACAGGACAGGGGCCUCUUCCAGCAGGGCCAUUAACAGGCCACCGGUUUUACCACCACCGUGACCCUAGGCCUCUUCCUAAGCUCCCUGAACCUUAGCUUCUGUGGUGGACAGAUGUUUCUACCUUCUGGCAUUCACCACCAUCAUGAAAUCCCC
rnacentral:lncRNA from 1 species